rnacentral:rRNA from 1 species
CCCUGUCCAUAGCCCGUGCCUCUGUUAGCUUUCCAUCCAUUUUCCUUCAACUUUCCUCCUGUCACUUACCAUGUAACUGGUAAUUAACUGUAACUCCUCGUGCGCCGCUCUCUUCACCGACCCAUUCGCCCCUCUACCGCUACUGUCCUUAGCCACGUUGCGCGUAGGUCACAAUAUCUCCCUUCCUUAAAUCUCUUCGAAGCGGGGGGGGCCCUGCCAUGGGGUGGCGUUCAUGGGUUGUGUGGGGACACGGGCACGACCCUUCCGCGGCGUCCGAUGCAACCACCUGCACGAUGCAACUGGUAUAUUACCGCAAGGACAGCUUGCACAGUUGCUGCAUGCCUUUGUCAAGCUCGUGUCGUGAGAUGCUGGGUUAAGUCCCGCAAUGAGCGCAACCCUUGUGUCCUGUUGCCACCCCCACGAGAGUGGGGAGCACUCUGGACAGACUGCCUCGCUUAAACGGGGAGGAAGGUGGGGAUGACGUCAAGUCAGUAUGGCCCUUACGGCCAGGGCUGCACACGUACUACAAUGCCUAACACAAAGGGAAGCAAGACCGUCAGGUGGAGCAAAUCCCAGAAAAUUAGGCCCAGUUCAGAUUGUCGUCUGCAACUCGACGGCAUGAAGCCGGAAUCGCUAGUAAUGGCGCAUCAGCUACGGCGCCGUGAAUACGUUCCCAGGCCUUGUACACACCGCCCGUCACAUCAUGAAAGCCGGUUGUACCCGAAGUCGCUGUGUUAACCGCAAGGAAACAGGUGCCGAAGGUAUGGCUGGUGAUUGGGAUGAAGUCGUAACAAGGUAA